AAAAUUUAAUUUUUUUUAUGUUAACCUAACACAAGAGCAUUUCAAGUAAGAUUAAAAGAAAAAGAAGGAACUCGGCAAAUAUUAACCUCGCCUGUUUACCAAAAACAUCGCCUCUUGCCCCAAUAUAAGAGGUCCAGCCUGCCCAGUGACUCUGUUCAACGGCCGCGGUAUCCUAACCGUGCGAAGGUAGCGUAAUCACUUGUUCUUUAAAUGAGGACUAGUAUGAACGGCACCACGAGGGUUAUACUGUCUCCUUUUCCCAAUCAGUGAAACUAAUCUCCCCGUGAAGAAGCGAGGAUAAACAUAUAAGACGAGAAGACCCUAUGGAGCUUUAAACUCAAUAACACUUGCUUUUAAACAUAAAUACUUCAGAGUAAUAAACACCCAUUACGGCCUCCUGAUUAUUAGUUUUAGGUUGGGGUGACCGCGGAGCAAAAAACAGCCUCCACAUUGAACGGGGAACAUCCCCCUGAGCCACGAGCCACAACUCUAUGCACCAAUAAAUUGACAUCUCUUGACCCAAUAUAUUGAUCAACG
rnacentral:rRNA from 1 species